rnacentral:misc_RNA from 1 species
UCCUGGUUAACCCAGGCAGUCUCAUUAGAGUUCCCACCUUAACGUGUUGGCAACUAAUGAUAAGGGUUGCGCUCGUUGCGGGACUUAACCCAACACCUCACGGCACGAGCUGACGACAGCCAUGCAGCACCUGUGCAGAAGCCCCGAAGGGACACCCUAUUUCUAGAGUUGUCUUCUGCAUGUCAAGCCUGGGUAAGGUUCUUCGCGUUGCAUCGAAUUAAACCACAUGCUCCACUGCUUGUGCGGGUCCCCGUCAAUUCUUUUGAGUUUCAGCCUUGCGACUGUACUCCCCAGGCGGUAUACUUAACGCGUUAGCUUCGGCACAGCUAGGGUUGAGUCCAGCUACACCAAGUAUACAUCGUUUAGGGCAAGGACUAC